UACAAUUGUACAGUAAAGUAAGUUAACCGUAGUGGCAGAGCCUGUCUUCUCUAGACAGAGAGAUCCCCGUUUGCCGAUAAACUAAAACGACUAAAUCACCUUCAACAAAUCUAACAACAAAACGACACCGUAUCAAGGCUCCAGAUCCUAAUCUCUCUCUCUCUCUCUCUCUCUCUCUCUCUCGCAAUGGUGAAGUCGCUUGAGCAUCCAUGGAUCCUCAACGCACUGCCCCUCUUAGUCGUUAUUCUCAUCGCAGCUCACGUCUUCGCCUUGGUAUAUUGGAUUUACAGAUUGGCCACUGAGAAUAAGCCCCGCCCCAUACAGCAGCAGCAGCUGCAGCAGCAACUCGGCGACAUCCAGAGACGAAAGGCUCACUGAGAAUCAACAAAACCUUGCUUGCAUUUGCCACCAUUCUGCAAUUUCGAACUUCUCAAGGCCUGAUUUGUAAAUUUAACUUAAAGCAUCAGUCAAUGUUGCUUCCUUCCACACAAUCACCAAGCAAGACGUACCAAAGAGUGACAAUGCCAUAUAGGAAUAAAGGGAUACCAUAGAUGUUUCAGAUUAAGAAAUGAUGAAAGUUUGCAGUGGCACUCUUACAUGGUGUAAGGUAGCUUGAUCAUUUUGCUUAACAAAUGUCACAAGAAUAUGAUAGAGCUAUGAGAAUGAGAUCUUUAUUUGUACUAAAGUGUUAAAAUGAAGGUGUAAUAUAGCCUAAAUAGUUAGUUGCAGUGAUGUGCAUGUUGUUGU